UACGUAGGGUGCAAGCGUUAAUCGGAAUUACUGGGCGUAAAGCGUGCGCAGGCGGCUAUGCAAGACAGAUGUGAAAUCCCCGGGCUCAACCUGGGAACUGCAUUUGUGACUGCAUGGCUAGAGUGCGGCAGAGGGGAAUGGAAUUCCGCGUGUAGCAGUGAAAUGCGUAGAUAUGCGGAGGAACACCGAUGGCGAAGGCAAUCCCCUGGGCCUGCACUGACGCUCAUGCACGAAAGCGUGGGGAGCAAACAGG
rnacentral:rRNA from 1 species